AGUGAACGUUGGCGGCGUGGAUUAGGCAUGCAAGUCGAGCGAGAACCGUAGCAAUACGGGGACAGCGGCGAAAGGGACAGUAAUGUGUAGGUACCUACCCCCGGGUUCGGGAUAGCUGCGGGAAACUGCAGGUAAUACCGAAUAAUGUCUCCGGACCAAAGGUGUGAUUCCACCUGGGGAGGGGCCUGCAUCCUAUUAGCUUGUUGGUGGGGUAACGGCCUACCAAGGCGACGAUGGGUAGCGGGUGUGAGAGCAUGACCCGCGUCAUUGGGACUGAGACACUGCCCAGACACCUACGGGUGGCUGCAGUCGAGAAUCUUCGGCAAUGGGCGCAAGCCUGACCGAGCGACGCCGCGUGCGGGAUGAGGGCCUUCGGGUUGUAAACCGCUGUCGUAGAGGAGGAAAUGCAGGGGGGUUCUCCCCUUUGCUUGACCUAUUCUAGGAGGAAGUACGGGCUAAGUUCGUGCCAGCCGCCGCGGUAA
rnacentral:rRNA from 1 species